rnacentral:rRNA from 1 species
GACGAACGCUGGCGGCGUGCUUAACACAUGCAAGUCGAACGGAACGGCCCUGCUCUUGUGGGGUGCUCGAGUGGCGAACGGGUGAGUAACACGCGAGUAACCUGCCCUUGACUUUGGGAUAACUUCAGGAAACUGGGGCUCAUACCGGGUAGGAGCUCCUGCUGCAUGGUGGGGGUUGGAAAGUUUCGGCGGUUGGGGAUGGACUCGCGGCUUAUCAGCUUGUUGGUGGGGUAGUGGCUUACCAAGGCUUUGACGGGUAGCCGGCCUGAGCGGGUGACCGGCCACAUUGGGACUGAGAUACGGCCCAGACUCCUACGGGAGGCAGCGGUGGGGAAUAUUGCACAAGGGGCGGAAGCCUGAUGCGGCAACGCCGCGUGCGGGAUGACGUCCUGCGGGUUGUGAACCGCUUUCGCCUGUGACGAGGCGUGAGUGACGGUAACGGGUAAAGAAGCACCGGCUAACUACGUG